GACGAACGCUGGCGGCGUGCUUAACACAUGCAAGUCGAACGGAACUUAUUGGAUCAAGACUUCGGUCAAGUGAAUGUAAGUUUAGUGGCGGACGGGUGAGUAACGCGUGAGGAACCUGCCUUUCAGAGGGGGACAACAGUUGGAAACGACUGCUAAUACCGCAUAACGCAUAGGAGUCGCAUGGCUCUUAUGCCAAAGAUUUAUCGCUGAAAGAUGGCCUCGCGUCUGAUUAGCUAGUUGGUGAGGUAACGGCCCACCAAGGCGACGAUCAGUAGCCGGACUGAGAGGUUGACCGGCCACAUUGGGACUGAGAUACGGCCCAGACUCCUACGGGAGGCAGCAGUGGGGAAUAUUGGGCAAUGGGCGCAAGCCUGACCCAGCAACGCCGCGUGAAGGAAGAAGGCUUUCGGGUUGUAAACUUCUUUGUCGAGGAAGAGUAGAAGACUGUACUCGGCGAAUAAGCCACGGCUAACUACGUG
rnacentral:rRNA from 1 species